rnacentral:rRNA from 1 species
UACGUAGGGUGCGAGCGUUGUCCGGAAUUAUUGGGCGUAAAGAGCUCGUAGGCGGUGUGUCGCGUCGGCCGUGAAAACCUGGGGCUUAACUCUGGGCGUGCGGUCGAUACGGGCAUCACUGGAGUUCGGCAGGGGAGACUGGAAUUCCUGGUGUAGCGGUGAAAUGCGCAGAUAUCAGGAGGAACACCGGUGGCGAAGGCGGGUCUCUGGGCCGAUACUGACGCUGAGGAGCGAAAGCAUGGGUAGCGAACAGGA